GAUGAACGCUGGCGGCGUGCCUAAUACAUGCAAGUAGAACGCUGAAGGAAGGAGCUUGCUCUUUCCGGAUGAGUUGCGAACGGGUGAGUAACGCGUAGGUAACCUGCCUGGUAGCGGGGGAUAACUAUUGGAAACGAUAGCUAAUACCGCAUAACAGUAGAUGUUGCAUGAUAUCUACUUAAAAGGUGCAAUUGCACCACUACCAGAUGGACCUGCGUUGUAUUAGCUAGUUGGUGAGGUAACGGCUCACCAAGGCGACGAUACAUAGCCGACCUGAGAGGGUGAUCGGCCACACUGGGACGGAGACACGGCCCAGACUCCUACGGGAGGCAGCAGUAGGGAAUCUUCGGCAAUGGACGGAAGUCUGACCGAGCAACGCCGCGUGAGUGAAGAAGGUUGUCGGAUCGUAAAGCUCGGUUGUAAGAGAAGAACGAGUGUGAGAGUGGAAAGUUCACACUGUGACGGUAUCUUACCAGAAAGGGACGGCUAACUACGUG
rnacentral:rRNA from 1 species